UACGGGGGGAGCAAGCGUUGUUCGGAUUUACUGGGCGUAAAGGGCGCGUAGGCGGCCAGCACAAGUCAGUUGUGAAAUCUCCGAGCUUAACUCGGAAAGGUCAACUGAUACUGUGCGGCUAGAGUGCGGAAGGGGCAACUGGAAUUCUUGGUGUAGCGGUGAAAUGCGUAGAUAUCAAGAGGAACACCAGUGGCGAAGGCGAGUCCCUGGACGAUACCUGACACUGGAGGCACGAAAGCGUGGGGAGCAAACAGG
rnacentral:rRNA from 1 species